GACUCCUUCCAUUCCUCAGUGUACUAAUCAAUGAAGUACAUCACCAUUGUAAGCGCCAAUGGAGAAGAAGUAUGACAUUAUGACCAUAAGGUCAUUUGACCCAAUAUGGCUAGAAGGCCAAAUUUCAUAUAUAUAUAACAACAACAAAAUUUGAAUAAUUGAGUAUCACUAACAAAUAACAUUUUGUAGAUUAGCAAUUUC
rnacentral:lncRNA from 1 species